GUGCGAAUGAAUGUUAUGAGUUUUGUUUUAUCUUAACUUUUCUUUUGUAAAGCGCAUCGAGCAUUCUGUCACGUAAGGAAUGCACUCUAUAAAUUUCCUUUUAUUACUGUUAUUAAUCGGUGGUCAGUGUCAAUGGACGGACCUUUUUAACACGCGGAAGAGAGGGGCUUUUAUCAUUCCCCUCACUUCGAAACAAAUGACAUCGUCGUGUAUAUCUGUCGUUUGAAAGCUGCUGUGCCUAAGCUCUCUUUGAAUUCUGCCAGUUGUCGCUUGUCCAGUGACUUGCAUACAACCUCGAUUGGCGCCUCCAGACAGAGCCCGUGAUAAUUAUUCAGACAAUAAAAGUAAAAAAUAAACAAACACACAAACAAACAAAAAAAAAAACAAACAAAAAAAAACAAAAACAAAACCGCUUAAAAAAUGGAAUUGACAAAAUCAUUUGUCAGCUUUACUAUAGUUCCUAUGCUGUGGUUAGCACGAGAGCAUCCAGACAGAAAGCGUAUAUUGUUUUAGCACAGUGCAUAAUGCUAUUUCCCCAAAAUAUAAGGGAAAAACCUAAACCUGCAUCCUUUCUGUCUCAACAUACACGCCUACAAAAAUCAUCAAACACGGGUAAAGUUCUGUUAGAGCGGGUUUUAUAUUAAUAUGACCGGGGAAUGAUCGAUUUCUGUCUGAUAAUUCUAUCUGCUUCGUUAAAUAAACCCCCUUAAUUUAUAAGCCCCAGUUCGUUCUUCCAAAAAAAAAAAAAAAAUCACUAUAUAUAUGCACAGAAAAGGUCAAACACGUCAAAGCUACACCUGAUGAAAGAUCCGAGACCAAAUAUAAAUUACACACAUCUGUACAUUAAUAACUGCGGGUGAUGCUUGUGUGUAUAUAUACAUAUCUAAACGGGGGGAAAAAAAAUUCACUGUCAGAUUUGGGAAAUCACCAAGCUCUCUACCCAUUCAUUUAAAAUAAUUAAUGGUAAUAUUGAUAUUUUAUCAACAAUAAGAAUUCAUAGGACCUAUAUAUAGAUGAAGUGAAUAGUAUAAAAAGAGAGGGCACCCCAUAGGUUUAACAAUGCACGAUCAGAUGUCGCUCGCACACCGGCAUCUUCUCCUGUUGCAAACACUACUUCUCUCUCUCUCUCUUUAUGUCCAAUGGUUUAUGAUGUGACUCUUAUAAAGGACCCAGAUUUGAAAUCUCACGGUCAGGUCGUUAACUGUCAAAAUAUAUCCCCAUCGGGAAGGAACCGUGCAUGUAUACUUACCAGGCAUGUACAGGUCUGUAGUUUCAUAUUCAUGUGUGAUCUUAAGCCUUUCAGUCACGCACUGUAUGAAGUUAUUUGUUAAAACAAAGGUUCCUGCCUUUAUAGACAAUGAUGCUGCGCAUGAAAAUAAAUUAAUUUGUCACGAUCGACGCUCUUGAAAGAAUGAUCCCCUAUUUAUAUGAUGUUUGCCCUGGAUCAAGGAUGCGAUAGUAUGUCUAUUGCGCAGUUUUGUGUGAAUUUUUUUAAAGUUAAUUAAACCUUAACUUCUUUGCGUUGCACGUUUACGAUAUACCUCCGUCAUGAAACAGGCAUGAAUGGAAAGCUACACUAGAGCUACCGCGGAUGCACUGUGAUGUGUCACGGCGACGCGCGGCAGGCGCAAGCAGUCGCUGUGCUGCGAAGGUCGCCAGCUACACAUUCUUGCGCACAUGUCACUGGUGUCACCGAUUGGAACCCACCCAUCUACAUUUAUUAUUAUUUUCCACGUGCAGAGAAGAGAACUUCGAUUGCUUGAAACAAGCGAUCACUAAUUUGUGAGAUAGCACUUUGGAUUACUUUUCAUUCAAGCGACAUUUUCCGGUCAACUCGAUUGAUCGGCGCGACACAAGUUGAACAAGUUUUUGAACUUCUUCUAUGGGAUUUUGAUGUUGAAGAUGAGACGCCCACACUGCGGUUGGAGUGUAACGACCGAUGUGUCAGUGGUGAGACGAUGAGCCUGGCAUUUGUCUGGUGCUGUGUUGGAACUCUCGUACUUGCCGAGUGGACUGUCUCGUAGGAACUAAGGCUGGAGAACUGAGAUAAGUGUAUUGGAACCCGUGUUUAAGCCUACCCUGAUGCCUGGUACCCGGUGAAGAUGGAGGGGGGAGUGACUGGCGGCGGGCCUGGGGAGGGGAUAUGUCCGGCCUGCCGCCUGCCCUUCGACUCGGGCAAGAAGCGGCGCCUCAUCG